CUCAGAAGUAGGCUGAGGUGUACAAUGCUCUGCUGACACAUUAUUAGUUUCUGAUCCUAUGAGUCAUUAAAAUGCUAUGAGUAAUUGAGCAAAAUGUCAUUUUGAUUGCAUACCAUAACCUCUAGUAACUGAGUAGAGACAGUCUGCCUCCAUGUGUCAAAAGAUACAGAGUAGGAGAUAAACUUUCUUUCAUCAUCAUGGAUGGAAGGAGCAUAGUAGAAAGAAAUUGCCACACGGAUACAAAUUGUGGCAUCAUGUGAUAUCUUAGGGAGUUACCCAAGGUAUUUCCACAGGGCACCUAUCUCUUUGCCAGCAUCUGGUCUGCUGAAUACUUCAGUGAAAAAUGCCCAGUGUUUAUUUGAACUUCUUAGUCUGUGUGGAGACUGCCAGGGACUCAGAAAAUGAAGUAACAGCUGUUUCUUCAAUACUAUCAAAACUGAGCUUCAUUGGCAUGCAUUUUUGAAAACUGAAAAGAGAAACUUACUGCCCAUGAGUGAGAGUUCCAUACUAUCUGUCUGAAGGAAGAGUAAAGAAGAUGGGAGAAGCAAUGUAAGUAACAGUAGCGAUGGGAAAGGAAGGUAUGCAUCUGCGUCUAUGUUUUUUAUUUAAAAGUAUAAUUUUUGUUGUACUGAGG
rnacentral:lncRNA from 1 species